GUCUACGGCCAUGCCACCCUGAACACACCUGAUCUUGUCUGAUCUCGGAAGCUAAGCAGGGUCAGGCCUGGUUAGUCCUUGGAUGGGAGACCACCUAGGAAGACCAGGUGCUGCAGGCA
rnacentral:rRNA from 1 species